rnacentral:rRNA from 1 species
AGUGAACGCUGGCGGUAGGCCUAACACAUGCAAGUCGAACGGCAGCACAGUAAGAGCUUGCUCUUACGGGUGGCGAGUGGCGGACGGGUGAGGAAUACAUCGGAAUCUACUUUUUCGUGGGGGAUAACGUAGGGAAACUUACGCUAAUACCGCAUACGACCUACGGGCGAAAGCAGGGGAUCUUCGGACCUUGCGCGAUUGAAUGAGCCGAUGUCGGAUUAGCUAGUUGGCGGGGUAAAGGCCCACCAAGGCGACGAUCCGUAGCUGGUCUGAGAGGAUGAUCAGCCACACUGGAACUGAGACACGGUCCAGACUCCUACGGGAGGCAGCAGUGGGGAAUAUUGGACAAUGGGCGCAAGCCUGAUCCAGCCAUACCGCGUAGGUGAAGAAGGCCUUCGGGUUGUAAAGCCCUUUUGUUGGGAAAGAAAAGCAGCAGGUUAAUACCCCGCUGUUCUGACGGUACCCAAAGAAUAAGCACCGGCUAACUUCGUG